rnacentral:rRNA from 1 species
GACGAACGCUGUCGGCGUGCUUAACACAUGCAAGUCGAACGGAAAGGCCCUGCUUUUGUGGGGUGCUCGAGUGGCGAACGGGUGAGUAACACGUGAGUAACCUGCCCUUGACUUUGGGAUAACUUCAGGAAACUGGGGCUAAUACCGGAUAGGAGCUCCUGCUGCAUGGUGGGGGUUGGAAAGUUUCGGCGGUUGGGGAUGGACUCGCGGCUUAUCAGCUUGUUGGUGGGGUAGUGGCUUACCAAGGCUUUGACGGGUAGCCGGCCUGAGAGGGUGACCGGCCACAUUGGGACUGAGAUACGGCCCAGACUCCUACGGGAGGCAGCAGUGGGGAAUAUUGCACAAUGGGCGGAAGCCUGAUGCAGCAACGCCGCGUGCGGGAUGACGGCCUUCGGGUUGUAAACCGCUUUCGCCUGUGACGAAGCGUGAGUGACGGUAAUGGGUAAAGAAGCACCGGCUAACUACGUGCCAGCAGCCGCGGUGAUACGUAGGGUGCGAGCGUUGUCCGGAUUUAUUGGGCGUAAAGGGCUCGUAGGUGGUUGAUCGCGUCGGAAGUGUAAUCUUGGGGCUUAACCCUGAGCGUGCUUUCGAUACGGGUUGACUUGAGGAAGGUAGGGGAGAAUGGAAUUCCUGGUGGAGCGGUGGAAUGCGCAGAUAUCAGGAGGAACACCAGUGGCGAAGGCGGUUCUCUGGGCCUUUCCUGACGCUGAGGAGCGAAAGCGUGGGGAGCGAACAGGCUUAGAUACCCUGGUAGUCCACGCUGUAAACGGUGGGUACUAGGUGUGGGGUCCAUUCCACGGGUUCCGUGCCGUAGCUAACGCUUUAAGUACCCCGCCUGGGGAGUACGGCCGCAAGGCUAAAACUCAAAGGAAUUGACGGGGCCCCGCACAAGCGGCGGAGCAUGCGGAUUAAUUCGAUGCAACGCGUAGAACCUUACCUGGGUUUGACAUGGAUCGGGAGUGCUCAGAGAUGGGUGUGCCUCUUUUGGGGUCGGUUCACAGGUGGUGCAUGACAGUCGUCAGCUCGUGUCGUGAGAUGUUGGGUUAAGUCCCGCAACGAGCGCAACCCUUGUUCACUGUUGCCAGCACGUUAUGGUGGGGACUCAGUGGAGACCGCCGGGGUCAACUCGGAGGAAGGUGGGGAUGACGUCAAGUCAUCAUGCCCCUUAUGUCCAGGGCUUCACGCAUGCUACAAUGGCUGGUACAGAGAGUGGCGAGCCUGUGAGGGUGAGCGAAUCUCGGAAAGCCGGUCUCAGUUCGGAUUGGGGUCUGCAACUCGACCUCAUGAAGUCGGAGUCGCUAGUAAUCGCAGAUCAGCAACGCUGCGGUGAAUACGUUCCCGGGGCU